rnacentral:rRNA from 1 species
GACGAACCGUGCGAACGUUGUUCGGAAUCACUGGGCUUAAAGGGCGCGUAGGCGGGCUAUCAAGUCCGGGGUGAAAUCCUCCAGCUUAACUGGAGAACGGCCUCGGAUACUGAUGGUCUCGAGGGGGAUAGGGGCACGCGGAACUGUGGGUGGAGCGGUGAAAUGCGUUGAUAUCCAUAGGAACUCCGGUGGCGAAAGCGGCGUGCUGGAUCCCUUCUGACGCUGAGGCGCGAAAGCCAGGGGAGCAAACGGG